UACGGAGGGUGCAAGCGUUAUCCGGAUUCACUGGGUUUAAAGGGUGCGUAGGCGGACAGGUAAGUCCGUGGUGAAAUCUCUGAGCUUAACUCAGAAACUGCCAUGGAUACUAUUUGUCUUGAAUUAGGGAGAGAUUCGUGGAAUUCCGAGUGUAGCAGUGAAAUGUGUAGAUAUUCGGAAGAACACCAGAGGCGAAGGCAGCGAAUUGGCCCUAUAUUGACGCUCAGGCACGAAAGCAUGGGGAUCAGACAGG
rnacentral:rRNA from 1 species